rnacentral:piRNA from 1 species
UCCCAGACAAGGGACCAUGUGUGUCCAGUGU